GGGGAGGAACCUCAGUGCCUGGAGGAGAGGAGGAAGUGAAACUGGGCAAAAAGAGCCACCAGGCAGCUCUUCGGACCUCACUGCCAGCCCGUCUGCUAGCCCAUCUCAGCUGCCUCUGAGGGUGGGGAGGGUCAGGCCAUGGGCCCCUGACUAUCUCAGUCCUGGGCCAGUGGCUGCUCAGGAAGCGUGUGCUUGAAUACAGAGGGGAAGUUGAGAAGAUCAGCAGAGGAGGCUGCCAGGCGGCCAUGGUCCUGCAGCUAGCUGGGCCACAAGUCCUUCUCUUCAUGGGUCUGAGUAGCGCAUCUCUGUGGAUGACUCCUGUGGGAUGCAGCAGGCUGAAGACGUUGCAGAAAAGAAGGAGGAAGGUAAACGGGAUUCUGCACAUUGUCACCUCCAUGUUCAGACAUUGCCUCUGAUGAAAUACCUUACUCAUCUCCCCCUCAAAAUUCUUUGAGAGUUCUGUGUCCAUGACAAGCUCUCAGAGAGCCUAGUCGUUCUACGAGUGAUGUCUGUGCUUCAGGGGCACCUUCCAGAAAUGAACCAUACAGUAGAUGCCCAGUGCACACAGGCUGACAAGGAAGCUGUCAGGCAAGGCCCUGAGAAGGGAAGGGGCUGAUGGCAGAAGUUGAUCCGUGGCCUCCUGAAACCCGGAGUCAUGAGGAGAAUCAGACUCGGAGUGAGGAGCUGAUGGUGACAGAGAGCAAGGAACAGUGGGUUCCAGCAGAGCACCGGCUUCUGAAUGUCAUCCUGCAGGCCCUGAGAUGGGCAGUUCUGUCCAUAAAAAAGAGGAAUUUUAUGUGUGCCUCAUAAUGCAACAGAAGAGGAAUAAAAUGUGCAUUUUUUAAAAGUUGAGGUCAUCUCACUUAAGAGGGAAGAGAUGAACAAGGACACCUCCAGAGGAGAGAUACCAAAACCAGGUCCGACCAUCACACCUGCCAGGGGUUUGUGUCUAGGAUAAGCCCAUGCCCUCCAUGUGCCAACAGGGGAGGCAGAUGGACAGGAGGAUUCCUCGUGCAGGCAGAUAGCCUACCUGUCCAGCAUUGGCGCUGAACACUGUUAUCACUUCUGGAGUGAAGCAAAACCCUUCGGAUUUUUAGCUGUGAGAGAGACUAGAAGUUUAAAGCAAGGCAAGAGCAAAGCACAUUGUCUCACUGCCCUGCAUUCUAAAGGAGACCCAUCUAAUCAUAAGGGGGAAGAAUGUCCUUGUUAGCCCAAUCUCUGGCAUGAGGUCUUCAGUCUCAGAAGCUGGACACAGGCCCCAGACUAAACCUACCCCCUGAAGUGGAGGCCAUUCAUAUAGACACAGAGGCCACUGACAGUUGCUGUACUUGACUUGGGGGUUCUGUGUCAAUGGCUAAAAAUUAGUUAAUUAUUAUCUACCCCCUGGAUUGGAGGCCAUUCAUAGACACAGAGGCCACUGAUAGUUGCUGUACUUGACUUGGGGGUUCUGUGUCAAUGGCUAAAAAUUAGUUAAUUAUUACCUACCCCCUGGAGUGGAGGCCAUUCAUAUAGACACAGAGGCCACUGACAGUUGCUGUGCUUGACUUGGGGGUUCUGUGUCAAUGGCUAAAAAUUAGUUAAUUAUUACCUACCCCCUGGAUUGGAGGCCAUUCGUAGACACAGAGGCCACUGAUAGUUGCUGUACUUGACUUGGGGGUUCUGUGUCAAUGGCUAAAAAUUAGUUAAUUAUUACCUACCCCCUGGAGUGGAGGCCAUUCAUAUAGACACAGAGGCCACUGACAGUUGCUGUGCUUGACUUGGGGGUCCUGCGUCAAUGGCUAAAAAUCAGUUAAUUAUUUAUUGAAACGGCACCAUGGUUGCUCUCUCGCAUCCAGUUAUGACUCCACACCUGUACCAUGCUCACUGGAGCUGCAAAGUGAUAUGGCUGCGAGAGAAAUGUCGGCUGCUGUUUGUGUCAUUCUCACAAUGCCACAGUUGACAUGCCCAGACUACUCCAAAGACUCGGAGUAGACACUUUGGGCACAGACACUAUGUUCAACUUUUGCACAGCAGGCAUUUAUAGUCUGAUAGUCAAAGAGAAAAACACUUGCAUUUCAGAUUAUGCCCUGAUUACUUGGCAUAGGAUGGAUACUUAUAGGAUGGAUACUUACAUAGUUUCCUCUAUAAAAUAGCUUUCCAUUUCAUAUUUGUCAUAAGGAUUAAAGUUAGGGAAAACAUUUUGCCAAAUUAUCCUCACAAAAUAGAAGGAAAUCUACUUGCCACAUGCUAAUCUUCUUUUAUAUGUCAAUGUAUUGGUGCCCUCAGUGUUUUUUAGCAUAUUUCCUGGGUUGUGCGGCCAUUACCAUAAUCAAUUUUACCACAUUUUUGUCAUCCUAUAAAGAAAUCCUGUACCUCUUAGCAGUUCCUCUGCUUUUCACUCAUUCUCCUCGACUCACUCACCCCCUACCCCUUAGCAACCACCAGUGUACUUUCUGUCUUCAUAGAUUUGCCUGUUCUGCACAUUUCAUGUAAAUGGAAUCAUACAGAGUUCUUUGUGAUGACUUCUUUUACUUGGCCUAGUGUUUUCAAGGUUUAUCCACAUUGUACCCUGUGUCAGAAUUUCCUUCCUUCUCAUUGUCAAGUAAUAUUCUAUUGUAUGAAUAUAUCACAUUUUGUGUAUUCAUCUUUGAUGUUUGAUGGACAUUUGGUUAUUUCUGCUUUUUGGCUAUUAUCUGAUGCUAUCAACAUUUAUGUACAAGUUUUCGGUGCACAUAUGUUUCAUUUCUCUUGGAUCUAUACUUAGGAGUGGAAUUACUGAGUCACAUGACAACUCUAUGUUCAGCCUUUUGAGGAACAGCCAGACUGUUUUCUAAAGUGGCUGCACCAUUUGACAUUCUCACCAGUAGUGUAUAAGGUUUCUACUUUCUCCACUUACUUGCCAACAUUUGCUGGUCAUUUUGAUUACAGCCAUCCUAAAGGAUAUGAAGUGGUAGCUCAUUUGGUUUUUAUUUUUAUUUCCCUGAUAGCUAAUAAUGUUGAACACCUUUUUAUAUGCUUAUUGGUUUUAUAUGCAUAUUUUCUUUGGAGAAAUUCGAUUCUGAUUUUUUGCCCAUUUUUAUUUUUGUAUUUUUGAUUUUACUUUUUAUCUUAUUUUUUUGAGAUGAGGUUUCAAUCUGUCACCCAGGCUGGAGUGCAGUGGUGCCAUCUUGGCUCCCUGCAACCUCUACCUCCUAGGCUCCAAGUGAUCCUUUCACCUCAGCUUCCUGAGUACUAGGACUACACCAUUCUCGGCUAAUUUUUUAUGUUUUGUAGAGAUGGGCUUUUGCCACAUUGCCUAGGCUGGUCUCAAACUCCUAACACCAAGUGACUCACCUGUUUUGGCCUCCCAAAGUGCUGGGAUUACAGGUGUGAGCCACUGUGCCCAGCCUAGAUUUUUUGCCCAUUUUUAAAUGAGAUUAUUUGUCUUAUUUCUUUUUCUUUUCUUUUCUUUUCUUUUUUUUUGAGAGGGAGUCUCGCUCUGUUGCCCAGGCUGGAGUGCAGUGGCAUGAUCUUGGCUCACUGCAAGCUCCACCUCCCAGGUUCAC
rnacentral:lncRNA from 10 species